AUCAUCGAGUACGGUCGUGUCGCGGAUGAAAAAAAAGUGAUAAAUAUAUAGCAUAAGUGAAGCACUGCAAAUGCUUUUAGCACAUACUCGCCCUAGAAUCCACCGACAUCGACAUCCAUCGACAAGUUCGCAAAUAAGUGGCAAGUGCUGGCCAAGCCAAUUGAUUAAACGCUCUAAUUGAACUAAAAUAUAACAAGCGCGAGUGAGAGAUAUAGACAGCGAGACCGAGGUAUUGAAACGCUGCCAAAGAAAUCUUGCCACCAACACACAUUUUUUUGCAUUCACUCUUUGCUCUCGGCCGCUUUCAUCGCGCGUUGUUUGUUCCUCUGUGUGUGUGUGUUUUUUUGCCGCGUUGCCUGGCUGACUCGUUCGUAGUCUGUGGUAUUUGUUGUUGUCGUUGGGAAUCGCCCUAAAGGCCCUCUUGGAAUAGUGUGCAGCAAGAGGCACGUGAAUGUCGCAAAAACACCAGAAGCAGUCUUACCAACCGCUCCCCACCGCCGCGGCCGCCAUGGACAAUCCGGCGAUGAGCCAGAGCAGUAGCAGUGGCGGCAGUAAUGAUGAUGUCGCCAACAUACCUCCGACUUACUCGUCACAACAGUUGAUGCCCUCGGACUCUGACAGCAUGGAAGAGGAGCGUCAAUUACGUCCUACUGGAGCUACCGCCAAUCUCGGAACCGGCCUUGGUAUACCGCCCGUGCCCACACGCCUCUCCGCGGUCGGCCGGUCACAAUGGUUUACCGUUGCUGUGCUCUGCUUUGUCAAUCUCAUCAACUAUAUGGACCGCUUCACGAUUGCGGGGGUGCUGAAGGAUGUGCAAGAUGACUUUCAAAUCGGCAACGAUAGUGCGGGACUCCUACAGACAGUCUUUGUCAUCUCGUACAUGAUCUGUGCUCCAGUCUUCGGAUAUCUGGGGGAUAGGUACUCCCGGCCCUGGAUCAUGGCCGUGGGUGUGGCCCUAUGGUGCACCACAACGCUAUUGGGAUCGUACAUGCAAAGCUUCGGCUGGUUCAUCACGUUCCGGGCUCUGGUAGGGAUCGGCGAGGCCUCGUACAGCACCAUAGCGCCAACGAUAAUAUCGGAUCUCUUCGUGAACGACAUGCGAUCGAAGAUGCUGGCGAUGUUCUACUUUGCCAUUCCCGUGGGCUCCGGCAUGGGAUACAUUGUGGGCUCCAAGACGGCUCACCUGGCCAACAACUGGCGCUGGGCGCUGCGCGUGACCCCCAUUCUGGGCGUGGUGGCUGUGCUGCUGAUUAUGCUGAUCAAGGAUCCGGAGCGCGGCCAUAGCGAGGGAUCGCACAACAUGGAGGCCACCUCCUACAGGCAGGACAUCAAGGAGCUGCUCAAGAACCGCUCCUUCAUGCUCUCCACGGCCGGAUUCACGUGCGUGGCCUUUGUGGCCGGAGCGCUGGCCUGGUGGGGACCCUCCUUCAUCUACCUAGGCAUGAAGAUGCAUCCGGGCAACGAGAACAUCGUUCAGGACGACGUUGCAUUCAAUUUCGGAGUGAUCACAAUGGUGGCGGGCCUGCUGGGCGUGCCCCUGGGCUCGUUCUUGUCACAGUAUCUGGUGAAGCGCUAUCAAUCGGCGGAUCCAGUGAUCUGCGCCUUCGGUCUGCUGCUCAGCGCACCGCUACUGUUCGGUGCCUGCCUGAUGGUGUCGUCGAACGAGCUGGGCACCUAUUUGCUAAUAUUUUUCGGACAGUUAGCUUUAAAUUUGAAUUGGGCGGUUGUGGCGGACAUCUUGCUGUAUGUAGUGGUGCCUACGCGUCGCUCCACAGCGGAGGCCUUCCAAAUACUCAUCUCACACGCCCUGGGCGAUGCGGGCAGUCCCUAUCUGGUGGGAGCGAUGUCGGAGGUGAUCAUGAAGCAUCUGCGCAACCAUCCCGGCGCUUCGGGCUUGACAAAUGAACUGCAAAGCAUGUCUCAGGUGCUGGAGUCGCAACUCCUAAAUGCCACGGAUGUGGCCACAAAAGUGGCAACGGAGGCUAUCCAUUCGUUCCAAACGAAUUUAACAAAAUCAGCUGAACAGCUGGAAGGACAGUUUACGGAAAUCGAGCAGUUUGAGGGCCUUCAAUACGCGCUGUUCUCCACCAGCUUUGUGGAGGUGCUGGGCGGCAUCUUCUUCCUGUUCACCGCCUGCUUCAUACUCAAGGACAAAUACAAGGCCGCGCGAAGUGUAGCUGGCGAUAAGAGACUGACGUCAGUGGCCGCGCAAGACGUUGAGUCUGUCAAUUCGGAAUGUUUCGUCCUGUGCACGGACAUUGCCCUGCGAGAACGCGCGUGAGGCGCUUUUUAGGCGCUCUCAAAAGAUUACUAUUUUGGCCUCAGAUCCCGCAAGAUGCUCAGGAGCAGCACCAGCAGCGGGGCAACCAGAUUGCCUAAUACCAGCCUAUACUUGAGGUUAUGCUGCGCACUCAGAGCACUGAUGGCAUUUUGGGUGAACUCAUACUGACUGAAAAUCAUCUUUAAUUUAAUCUCCACACACACACACACACGAGACCCCCGGAUUGGUUUCUUUUGGAAUUUGGAUCAUAGGGAGGCAUAGGGAUGGAUGCAUGCUCAAGUUUCUAUCAGAAUGGAAAGGAUAGAAUAGCCCCGAUAUCCAUACAUACCUAAACAGUUCAGCUAUGUAGAUAUAUAUACAUACUUACAUACGUACACUCUCAAUCACCCACUCCCAAACUCGCGAGUCAUAUACAUAUACAUUUUAAUCGGUUCAUUUUACCUGUAAACGCUAAUUUACAUAGUCGUAGAUAGACCUAGUUCUGGUAUUUUAGGCUAAAGAAAAAUUAAAAUGGAGAAAAAAAAUAAAGCAAGCAAAAACACUUCAUGCGUUUUCGAGGAUGUCACUCCUCUACUUCACUUCACCGCUCUCCAAUCAAGACCCAGACUGUUGUAAAUAGUUAAAGAAAUCCUAUCUUCAGUGGCAGGAGUAACGAACGGAUUAUCUCAGGCAACGCAUGGAACGCAUGGAGUGUCAAUUGUUGCUACA